AAAAUGAACUCAUUACUGAGAAGAAAAAUGGGAUCAAGUUCGCAAAGACCAUCCAGGGGCUGCUGCAGGUCAUCAACAAAAAAGACAAAGAGAUUGCAGAGCUGCAUCGUGGGAUUGAAGGCAGGGAGGCUGCUUUAGAAAAAGAAAGAGACAAGGCCCAGUUCACAGCCAGGAUGUUGGCACAGCUGUUCAUAGCAAAUCAAGAGUUUCUUGCAGACA